GGCGAUUUCCGAAUGGGGAAACCCAGUGUGACUCGUCACACUAUCAUUAACUGAAUCCAUAGGUUAAUGAGGCGAACCGGGGGAACUGAAACAUCUAAGUACCCCGAGGAAAAGAAAUCAACCGAGAUUCCCCCAGUAGCGGCGAGCGAACGGGGAGGAGCCCAGAGCCUGAAUCAGCAUGUGUGUUAGUGGAAGCGUCUGGAAAGGCGCGCGAUACAGGGUGACAGCCCCGUACACAAAAGCGCAUGUGCUGUGAGCUCGAUGAGUAGGGCGGGACACGUGGUAUCCUGUCUGAAUAUGGGGGGACCAUCCUCCAAGGCUAAAUACUCCUGACUGACCGAUAGUGAACCAGUACCGUGAGGGAAAGGCGAAAAGAACCCCGGCGAGGGGAGUGAAAAAGAACCUGAAACCGUGUACGUACAAGCAGUGGGAGCC
rnacentral:rRNA from 1 species